rnacentral:rRNA from 1 species
UACGUAGGGUGCGAGCGUUAAUCGGAAUUACUGGGCGUAAAGCGUGCGUAGGCGGUUUCUUAAGUCUGCUGUGAAAUCCCCGGGCUCAACCUGGGAAUGGCAGUGGAUACUGGGAGGCUAGAGUGUGUCAGAGGAUGGUGGCAUUCCCGGUGUAGCGGUGAAAUGCGUAGAGAUCGGGAGGAACAUCAGUGGCGAAGGCGGCCAUCUGGGACAACACUGACGCUGAGGCACGAAAGCGUGGGGAGCAAACAGG